GACAGAGGUGCCGAGCGUUAGGCGGAAUCACUGGGCUUAAAGCGUGUGUAGGCGGACCGUUAAGUACCUUGUGAAAUCCCACGGCUCAACCGUGGAACGGCUGGGUAUACUGGCGGUCUUGGGCCACCUAGGGGCGAGCGGAACAAGUGGUGGAGCGGUGAAAUGCGUAGAUAUCGCUUGGAACGCCGACGGUGAAAACAGCUCGCUGGGGGUGUGCCGACGCUGAGACACGAAAGCCAGGGGAGCGAACGGG
rnacentral:rRNA from 1 species